AAAAAAAAAACUGUUUAGUGGGGUGACAGAAGCCCUUUAAGAAGCUGCAGAUUCACCAAGGAUGUUCUUUUUAAGUUUUUUCUUUGACUGGAGUUACACCUUAAAGCAAAAAUGCAACAAUUUCAGAUGAGGCCAUAAAU